UGGCGCACACACACACGUUCUCUCUUUGGCCUUUUUCCGAUUAAAUCUUAUCUGUCUGUCCAUUCAUUAGAUGCAUGUUGAAAACUGUCUGCAAAAUCCUUUUGUGUGUUUUUCCACCAUCGGUCGCGAAAAGCAUUAGUUGGGGGGAGUGUUGUUGCUGAAAGCCUCUUGAGUGAGCGAUCGCCUGUUUUCAUCUCUUAUUGCCUCCGUUUUCUCUUCUUGAGAAGACAUUAAAUAGCACGGAAUAAUUUUUCCUUUGUGUUACUACACCCCAUCACAGCUCUAAAGAGAUGCUUGAGCCAGCAAGAAAGGAAGCACAGAAGGAGAAUAUGGAGGGAGGGAAAGGAAGAAGUCAAAGGAGAACAAGGGGUGGCAAGAAAGAGUGGAGGAGAGACUGAUAGGAAGUGUUGAGGUAUCUAGAUAGCAGUGAAGGAAGGAAGAAACAGUGGAGGAGAGACUGAUAGGUGUUGAGGUAGCUAGAUAGCAGUGGAGGAGAGAGACUGAUAGGUGUUGAGGUAGCUAGAUAGCAGUGAAGGAAGGAAGAAACGGUGGAGGAGAGAGACUGAUAGGAAGUGUUGAGGUAGCUAGAUAGCAGUGAAGGAAGGAAGAAAACAGUGGAGGAGAGAGACUGAUAGGAAGUGUUGAGGUAGCUAGAUAGCAGUGAAGGAAGGAAGAAAACAGUGGAGGAGAGAGACUGAUAGGAAGUGUUGAGGUAGCUAGAUAGCAGUGAAGGAAGGAAGAAACAGUGGAGGAGAGACUGAUAGGUGUUGAGGUAGCUAGAUAGCAGUGGAGGAGAGAGACUGAUAGGUGUUGAGGUAGCUAGAUAGCAGUGAAGGAAGGAAGAAACGGUGGAGGAGAGAGACUGAUAGGUUGUUGAGGUAGCUAGAUAGCAGUGAAGGAAGGAAGAAACAGUGGAGGAGAGACUGAUAGGUGUUGAGGUAGCUAGAUAGCAGUGAAGGAAGGAAGAAACAGUGGAGGAGAGAGACUGAUAGGUGUUGAGGUAGCUAGAUAGCAGUGAAGGAAGGAAGAAACAGUGGAGGAGAGAGACUGAUAGGUGUUGAGGUAGCUAGAUAGCAGUGAAGGAAGAAACAGUGGAGGAGAGAGACUGAUAGGAAGUGUUGAGGUAGCUAGAUAGCAGUGAAGGAAGGAAGAAACAGUGGAGGAGAGAGACUGAUAGGAAGUGUUGAGGUAGCUAGAUAGCAGUGAAGGAAGGAAGAAACAGUGGAGGAGAGACUGAUAGGUGUUGAGGUAGCUAGAUAGCAGUGAAGGAAGGAAGAAACAGUGGAGGAGAGAGACUGAUAGGAAGUGUUGAGGUAGCUAGAUGGCAGUAAAGGAGAGAGACUGAUAGGUGUUGAGGUAGCUAGAUGGCAGUGAAGGAAGGAAGAAACAGUGGAGGAGAGAGACUGAUAGGAAGUGUGUAGGGGACAGAGUAAGAGACACAGAAAAGCAGACAAACACAGUGUGGAGGUGGUUAGAAAUAGUGAGGGUUUGGGGAAAUGUGUUGAUUGAUGAUCGUGUCCAUACAUAACCAGCAAGUGUUAUUAAAAAUGCUCUUGUUGUGUCUUUGUUAGUGGGCCAUUAUUAGGAUUUAAAUUGGCUGGGGACAGGUGUGUGUGUGGUGGGGGUGUAUGGCCUCUACGGCUGCACCCAGCUCUGCUGCAGUGUCAGCAACUAGACACAAAUACCCUCAUACACACUUUCUUAAAAGGUCCCAAGGUCCCGAACUGUCAUUCUGAUUUCCAUGUAAAAUAGCCUUUUGAGUGACUAAAAUAUCACCUAUAAUAUUUGCUUUGGAUAGAAAUGCUGAAAACGUGCGAAAAA